rnacentral:rRNA from 1 species
GGUUAAGCGACUAAGCGUACACGGUGGAUGCCCUGGCAGUCAGAGGCGAUGAAGGACGUGCUAAUCUGCGAUAAGCGUCGGUAAGGUGAUAUGAACCGUUAUAACCGGCGAUUUCCGAAUGGGGAAACCCAGUGUGAUUCGUCACACUAUCAUUAACUGAAUCCAUAGGUUAAUGAGGCGAACCGGGGGAACUGAAACAUCUAAGUACCCCGAGGAAAAGAAAUCAACCGAGAUUCCCCCAGUAGCGGCGAGCGAACGGGGAGGAGCCCAGAGCCUGAAUCAGUGUGUGUGUUAGUGGAAGCGUCUGGAAAGGCGCGCGAUACAGGGUGACAGCCCCGUACACAAAAAUGCACAUGCUGUGAGCUCGAUGAGUAGGGCGGGACACGUGGUAUCCUGUCUGAAUAUGGGGGGACCAUCCUCCAAGGCUAAAUACUCCUGACUGACCGAUAGUGAACCAGUACCGUGAGGGAAAGGCGAAAAGAACCCCGGCGAGGGGAGUGAAAAAGAACCUGAAACCGUGUACGUACAAGCAGUGGGAGCACGCUUAGGCGUGUGACUGCGUACCUUUUGUAUAAUGGGUCAGCGACUUAUAUUCUGUAGCAAGGUUAACCGAAUAGGGGAGCCGAAGGGAAACCGAGUCUUAACUGGGCGUUAAGUUGCAGGGUAUAGACCCGAAACCCGGUGAUCUAGCCAUGGGCAGGUUGAAGGUUGGGUAACACUAACUGGAGGACCGAACCGACUAAUGUUGAAAAAUUAGCGGAUGACUUGUGGCUGGGGGUGAAAGGCCAAUCAAACCGGGAGAUAGCUGGUUCUCCCCGAAAGCUAUUUAGGUAGCGCCUCGUGAAUUCAUCUCCGGGGGUAGAGCACUGUUUCGGCAAGGGGGUCAUCCCGACUUACCAACCCGAUGCAAACUGCGAAUACCGGAGAAUGUUAUCACGGGAGACACACGGCGGGUGCUAACGUCCGUCGUGAAGAGGGAAACAACCCAGACCGCCAGCUAAGGUCCCAAAGUCAUGGUUAAGUGGGAAACGAUGUGGGAAGGCCCAGACAGCCAGGAUGUUGGCUUAGAAGCAGCCAUCAUUUAAAGAAAGCGUAAUAGCUCACUGGUCGAGUCGGCCUGCGCGGAAGAUGUAACGGGGCUAAACCAUGCACCGAAGCUGCGGCAGCGACACUAUGUGUUGUUGGGUAGGGGAGCGUUCUGUAAGCCUGUGAAGGUGUGCUGUGAGGCAUGCUGGAGGUAUCAGAAGUGCGAAUGCUGACAUAAGUAACGAUAAAGCGGGUGAAAAGCCCGCUCGCCGGAAGACCAAGGGUUCCUGUCCAACGUUAAUCGGGGCAGGGUGAGUCGACCCCUAAGGCGAGGCCGAAAGGCGUAGUCGAUGGGAAACAGGUUAAUAUUCCUGUACUUGGUGUUACUGCGAAGGGGGGACGGAGAAGGCUAUGUUGGCCGGGCGACGGUUGUCCCGGUUUAAGCGUGUAGGCUGGUUUUCCAGGCAAAUCCGGAAAAUCAAGGCUGAGGCGUGAUGACGAGGCACUACGGUGCUGAAGCAACAAAUGCCCUGCUUCCAGGAAAAGCCUCUAAGCAUCAGGUAACAUCAAAUCGUACCCCAAACCGACACAGGUGGUCAGGUAGAGAAUACCAAGGCGCUUGAGAGAACUCGGGUGAAGGAACUAGGCAAAAUGGUGCCGUAACUUCGGGAGAAGGCACGCUGAUAUGUAGGUGAAGUCCCUCGCGGAUGGAGCUGAAAUCAGUCGAAGAUACCAGCUGGCUGCAACUGUUUAUUAAAAACACAGCACUGUGCAAACACGAAAGUGGACGUAUACGGUGUGACGCCUGCCCGGUGCCGGAAGGUUAAUUGAUGGGGUCAGCGCAAGCGAAGCUCUUGAUCGAAGCCCCGGUAAACGGCGGCCGUAACUAUAACGGUCCUAAGGUAGCGAAAUUCCUUGUCGGGUAAGUUCCGACCUGCACGAAUGGCGUAAUGAUGGCCAGGCUGUCUCCACCCGAGACUCAGUGAAAUUGAACUCGCUGUGAAGAUGCAGUGUACCCGCGGCAAGACGGAAAGACCCCGUGAACCUUUACUAUAGCUUGACACUGAACAUUGAGCCUUGAUGUGUAGGAUAGGUGGGAGGCUUUGAAGUGUGGACGCCAGUCUGCAUGGAGCCGACCUUGAAAUACCACCCUUUAAUGUUUGAUGUUCUAACGUGGACCCGUGAUCCGGGUUGCGGACAGUGUCUGGUGGGUAGUUUGACUGGGGCGGUCUCCUCCUAAAGAGUAACGGAGGAGCACGAAGGUUGGCUAAUCCUGGUCGGACAUCAGGAGGUUAGUGCAAUGGCAUAAGCCAGCUUGACUGCGAGCGUGACGGCGCGAGCAGGUGCGAAAGCAGGUCAUAGUGAUCCGGUGGUUCUGAAUGGAAGGGCCAUCGCUCAACGGAUAAAAGGUACUCCGGGGAUAACAGGCUGAUACCGCCCAAGAGUUCAUAUCGACGGCGGUGUUUGGCACCUCGAUGUCGGCUCAUCACAUCCUGGGGCUGAAGUAGGUCCCAAGGGUAUGGCUGUUCGCCAUUUAAAGUGGUACGCGAGCUGGGUUUAGAACGUCGUGAGACAGUUCGGUCCCUAUCUGCCGUGGGCGCUGGAGAACUGAGGGGGGCUGCUCCUAGUACGAGAGGACCGGAGUGGACGCAUCACUGGUGUUCGGGUUGUCAUGCCAAUGGCACUGCCCGGUAGCUAAAUGCGGAAGAGAUAAGUGCUGAAAGCAUCUAAGCACGAAACUUGCCCCGAGAUGAGUUCUCCCUGACUCCUUGAGAGUCCUGAAGGAACGUUGAAGACGACGACGUUGAUAGGCCGGGUGUGUAAGCGCAGCGAUGCGUUGAGCUAACCGGUACUAAUGAACCGUGAGGCUUAACCUU